GUGGGGAAUAUUGGGCAAUGGGCGCAAGCCUGACCCAGCAACGCCGCGUGAAGGAAGAAGGCUUUCGGGUUGUAAACUUCUUUUCUGAGGGACGAACAAAUGACGGUACCUCAGGAAUAAGCCGCGGCUAACUACGUGCCAGCAGCCGCGGUAAUACGUAGGUGGUAAGCGUUAUGCGGAUGUAUUGGGUGUAAAGGGCGUGUAGGCGGGAGCGCAAGUCAGAUGUGAAAACUCAGGGCUCAACCCUGAGCCUGCAUUUGAAGCUGUGCUUCUUGAGUGCUGGAGAGGCAAUCGGAAUUCCGUGUGUAGCCGUGAAAUGCGUAGAUAUACGGAGGAACACCAGUGGCGAAGGCGGAUUGCUGGACAGUAACUGACGCUGAGGCGCGAAAGCGUGGGGAGCAAACAGG
rnacentral:rRNA from 1 species